rnacentral:rRNA from 1 species
AUUGAACGCUGGCGGCAGGCUUAACACAUGCAAGUCGAGCGGGGUGAUGGUGCUUGCACUAUCACUUAGCGGCGGACGGGUGAGUAAUGCUUAGGAAUCUGCCUAUUAGUGGGGGACAACAUCUCGAAAGGGAUGCUAAUACCGCAUACGUCCUACGGGAGAAAGCAGGGGAUCACUUGUGACCUUGCGCUAAUAGAUGAGCCUAAGUCGGAUUAGCUAGUUGGUGGGGUAAAGGCCUACCAAGGCGACGAUCUGUAGCGGGUCUGAGAGGAUGAGCCGCACGACGGGGACUGAGACACGGCCCAGACUCGUACGGGAGGCAGCAGUGGGGAAUAUUGGACAAUGGGGGGAACCCUGAUCCAGCGAGGCGGGGUGUGUGAAGAAGGCCUUAUGGUUGUAAAGCACUUUAAGCGAGGAGGAGGCUCUUUUGGUUAAUACGCAAGAUGAGUGGACGUGACUCGCAGAAUAAGCACCGGCUAACUCUGUGCCAGCCGCCGCCGUAA